rnacentral:rRNA from 1 species
CGGACGGGUGAGUAACGCGUGAGAACCUGCCCUCCAGAGGGGGAUAACAGUUGGAAACACUGCUAAUACCCCAUACGCCGAAAGGUAAAAGGAGCAAUCGCUGGAGGAGGGGCUCGCGUCCGAUUAGCUAGUUGGUAGGGUAAAGGCCUACCAAGGCACGAUCGGUAGCCGGUCUGAGAGGACGAACGGCCACACUGGGACUGAGACACGGCCCAGCUCCUACGGGAGGCAGCAGUGGGGAAUUUUCCGCAAUGGGCGAAAGCCUGACGGAGCCAACCGCGUGAGGGAAGAAGGCCUUCGGGUUGUAAACCUCAAAAGCUGGGGAAGAAAACGACGGUACCCAGUGUAAGCCUCGGCUAACUCCGUCCAGCAGCCGCGGUAAGACGGAGGAGGCGAGCGUUAUCCGGAAUCAUUGGGCGUAAAGGUCCGUAGGCGGCAGUGCAAGUCCGUGGUCAAAGGCCCCGGCUCAACCGGGGAAAGGCCAGGAAACUGCACCGCUAGAGCCAGGCAGGGGUAGGGGGAAUUCCCAGUGGAGCGGUGAAAGCGUAGAGAUUGGGAAGAACACCGGUGGCGAAGGCGCCCUACUGGGCCUGUGCUGACGUGAGGGACGAAAGCUAGGGGAGCGAAAGGGAUUAGAUACCCCUGUAGU